rnacentral:rRNA from 1 species
AGCGAACGCUGGCGGCAGGCUUAACACAUGCAAGUCGAGCGGGCCCUUCGGGGUCAGCGGCAGACGGGUGAGUAACACGUGGGAACGUACCCUUUGGUUCGGAAUAACGCUGGGAAACUAGCGCUAAUACCGGAUACGCCCUUUUGGGGAAAGGCUUGCUGCCGAAGGAUCGGCCCGCGUCUGAUUAGCUAGUUGGUGGGGUAAUGGCCUACCAAGGCGACGAUCAGUAGCUGGUCUGAGAGGAUGAUCAGCCACACUGGGACUGAGACACGGCCCAGACUCCUACGGGAGGCAGCAGUGGGGAAUAUUGGACAAUAGGCGCAAGCCUGAUCCAGCCAUGCCGCGUGAGUGAUGAAGGCCUUAGGGUUGUAAAGCUCUUUUGUCCGGGACGAUAAUGACGGUACCGGAAGAAUAAGCCCCGGCUAACUUCGUG